AGGCUGUCGGGAAAAGGCGCUAUAAAAGCCCGCAAUCUAUUUGUGAACCUGCGGAAAGUUUCUCGGCGGUGGAAGGGAAAGUCGUAGGGCGUCGACACACACGGGCGCGUGUUGACAUGGACCGAAGGCACGACAAGCUUGAAGGAAGCUGCGGGAUACUGAAUCAGUCUGUUGGUCCAUCUUCCACACGAACAAUAAUCUACUCAGUUGGAGUAAGUCCACAAAUUAUGCUACCAUGGUUCCUGAAUUGGGGGACAGGAAUCUUUCCCAACCCUUCUGGUGUUGCUGGACCUCGUACCUUUUGCAUCAAAAGCCAUGUUCUACUAUACUUGUUUGAUGAGAAAAUAUGGGCUGAAUAAAGCUAGCAAUAAUUUUAUUACUAACAAUAUACUUUACUGCUUUAAUCAUGGUUUCCUACAGGCAUUGGACAGACACUAUCUCUGAAACUUAUAUGUACACAAUAUUGAUGUGUCAUUUUAGUAUGAAGACCUGGAGGAUGUUCAGUUUGUAAAAUGGCUCAUAAACUUUAGAGACUGUA